CAGCUCGAGUUUCUCUUCAUAACGUAUAAAUCUUUCAGCCUUUUACUAAAGAUUUCCGUGGAGGGGAGCCUUGGCGAGUUUUCUGUAUUUUUGGGGGCUCUGCUGCUAGCAGAGCU